AGCGAACGCUGGCGGCAGGCCUAACACAUGCAAGUCGAACGAACCCUUCGGGGUUAGUGGCGGACGGGUGAGUAACACGUGGGAACGUGCCUUUAGGUUCGGAAUAACUCAGGGAAACUUGUGCUAAUACCGAAUGUGCCCUUCGGGGGAAAAAUUUAUCGCCUUUAGAGCGGCCCGCGUCUGAUUAGCUAGUUGGUGAGGUAAUGGCUCACCAAGGCUACGAUAAGUAGCUGGUCUGAGAGGAUGACCAGCCACAUUGGGACAGAGACACGGCCCAAACUCCUACGGGAGGCAGCAGUGGGGAAUCUUGCGCAAUGGGCGAAAGCCUGACGCAGCCAUGCCGCGUGGAUGAUGAAGGUCUUAGGAUUGUAAAAUCCUUUCACCGGUGAAGAUAAUGACUGUAGCCGGAGAAGAAGCCCCGGCUAACUUCGUGCCAGCCGCCGCAGUAACAC
rnacentral:rRNA from 1 species